rnacentral:rRNA from 1 species
AACGAACGCUGGCGGCAGGCCUAACACAUGCAAGUCGAGCGCCCCGCCAGGGGCGCGGCGGACGGGUGAGUAACGCGUGGGAACGUACCCUUUGCUACGGAAUAGCCUCGGGAAACUGGGAGUAAUACCGUAUGUGUCCUUCGGGAGAAAGAUUUAUCGGCAAGGGAUCGGCCCGCGUUGGAUUAGGUAGUUGGUGGGGUAAUGGCCUACCAAGCCGACGAUCCAUAGCUGGUUUGAGAGGAUGAUCAGCCACACUGGGACUGAGACACGGCCCAGACUCCUACGGGAGGCAGCAGUGGGGAAUCUUAGACAAUGGGCGCAAGCCUGAUCUAGCCAUGCCGCGUGAGCGAUGAAGGCCUUAGGGUUGUAAAGCUCUUUCAGGGGGGAAGAUAAUGACUGUACCCCCAGAAGAAGCCCCGGCUAACUCCGUG